GUUCCCAGUGAUGCUUCUUGAUGAUCCAUGCUAAUGCUGAUGCUAGCAUGACUGAAACUCUUCUCUAUUUGCCUGAGGGAACU
rfam:Jatropha curcas cultivar GZQX0401 scaffold779_41, whole genome shotgun sequence.